CGACUUACCUGGCAGUGGAGAGAUAAUGAUCAUGAAGGUUGUUCUCCCAGGACGAGGCUAUCCCAUUGCAUUUCGGGUGUGCUGAUGCCUGCGAUGUCCCCAAAUGCGGGAUACUUGACUGCAAAAUUUGUGGUAGUGGGGGACUGUGUUCGCGCUCUCCCCGA